rnacentral:rRNA from 1 species
UCGAGAAUCUUUCGCAAUGGGCGCAAGCCUGACGAAGCGACGCCGUGUGAGCGAAGAAGGCCUUCGGGUUGUAAAGCUCUUUCGCUAGGGAACAAGAGAAUCGGAUGAAUAAUUCGGUAAUUUGAUGGUACUUGGUAAAGAAGCACCGGCUAACUCCGUGCCAGCAGCUGCGGUAAUACGGAGGGUGCAAGCAUUGAUCGGAAUUACUGGGCGUAAAGGGCGCGUAGGCGGUAUUAAAAGUCAGAUGUGAAAUUCCGGGGCUCAACCCCGGAACUGCAUUUGAAACUUUAAAACUAGAGUAUAGUUGGGGAAAAUGGAAUUCCACGUGUAGCGGUGAAAUGCGUAGAUAUGUGGAAGAACACCGGUGGUGAAGACGAUUUUCUGGGCUAUAACUGACGCUGAGGCGCGAAAGCAAGGGGAGCAAACAGGAUUAGAUACCCCGGUAGUCC